GAUGAACGCUGGCGGCGUGCCUAAUACAUGCAAGUCGAGCGAACAGACGAGGAGCUUGCUCCUCUGACGUUAGCGGCGGACGGGUGAGUAAAACGUGGAUAACCUACCUAUAAGACUGGGAUAACUUCGGGAAACCGGAGCUAAUACCGGAUAAUAUAUUGAACCGCAUGGUUCAAUAGUGAAAGACGGUUUUGCUGUCACUUAUAGAUGGAUCCGCGCCGCAUUAGCUAGUUGGUAAGGUAACGGCUUACCAAGGCAACGAUGCGUAGCCGACCUGAGAGGGUGAUCGGCCACACUGGAACUGAGACACGGUCCAGACUCCUACGGGAGGCAGCAGUAGGGAAUCUUCCGCAAUGGGCGAAAGCCUGACGGAGCAACGCCGCGUGAGUUAUGAAGGUCUUCGGAUCGUAAAACUCUGUUAUUAGGGAAGAACAAAUGUGUAAGUAACUAUGCACGUCUUGACGGUACCUAAUCAGAAAGCCACGGCUAACUACGUG
rnacentral:rRNA from 1 species